rnacentral:rRNA from 1 species
GAUGAACGCUGGCGGCGUGCCUAAUACAUGCAAGUCGAGCGAAUGGAUUAAGAGCUUGCUCUUAUGAAGUUAGCGGCGGACGGGUGAGUAACACGUGGGUAACCUGCCCAUAAGACUGGGAUAACUCCGGGAAACCGGGGCUAAUACCGGAUAAUAUUUUGAACUGCAUGGUUCAAAAUUGAAAGGCGGCUUCGGCUGUCACUUAUGGAUGGACCCGCGUCGCAUUAGCUAGUUGGUGAGGUAACGGCUCACCAAGGCAACGAUGCGUAGCCGACCUGAGAGGGUGAUCGGCCACACUGGGACUGGAACACGGCCCAGACUCCUACGGGAGGCAGCAGUAGGGAAUCUUCCGCAAUGGACGAAAGUCUGACGGAGCAACGCCGCGUGAGUGAUGAAGGCUUUCGGGUCGUAAAACUCUGUUGUUAGGGAAGAACAGGUGCUAGUUGAAUAAGCUAGCACCUUGACGGUACCUAACCAGAAAGCCACGGCUAACUACGUGCCAGCCGCCGCGGUAA